UACGUAGGGACCGAGCGUUGUCCGGAAUCAUUGGGCGUAAAGAGCGUGUAGGCGGCUUUACAGGUCCGUUGUGAAAACUCGAGGCUCAACCUCGAGACGCCGGUGGAAACCGUAAGGCUAGAGUCCGGAAGAGGAGAGUGGAAUUCCCGGUGUAGCGGUGAAAUGCGCAGAUAUCGGGAGGAACACCAAUGGCGAAGGCAGCUCGCUGGGACGGUACUGACGCUGAGACGCGAAAGCGUGGGGAGCAAACAGG
rnacentral:rRNA from 1 species